GCUAUGGAACUCGCCUGCAGAAUGUUUUUCUGCAUUGAAAAAGCGUGGUUAUCGCAUUGCAACUACUUGUUUGGGAACUGAUUCGGUUUCUGUGUAUGACAUGGAUUGGUCCCAUCCAACGGCUAUUGUUGUGGGCAACGAGCUUAGGGGUAUUAGCGAUGAUGCUCUGAAGUUGUCAGACUUGCACUGUAGUGUUCCUAUGAAAGGCAUGGUGGAUUCAUUUAAUGUAUCUGUUGCAGCUGGAAUCCUCAUGCACCAUGCUGUUUGUGAU